rnacentral:rRNA from 1 species
GAUGAACGCUAGCGGCAGGCUUAACACAUGCAAGUCGAGGGGCAGCAUGAUUGUAGCAAUACAAUUGAUGGCGACCGGCAAACGGGUGCGGAACACGUACACAACCUUCCAACAAGUGGGGGAUAGCCCAGAGAAAUUUGGAUUAAUACCCCGUAACAUAGCGAUGUGGCAUCACAUUGCUAUUAUAGAUUUUUCGCUUGUUGAUGGGUGUGCGGCUGAUUAGAUAGUUGGCGGGGUAACGGCCCACCAAGUCUACGAUCAGUAGCUGAUGUGAGAGCAUGAUCAGCCACACGGGCACUGAGACACGGGCCCGACUCCUACGGGAGGCAGCAGUAAGGAAUAUUGGACAAUGGACGCAAGUCUGAUCCAGCCAUGCCGCGUGAAGGAUUAAGGUCCUCUGGAUUGUAAACUUCUUUUAUAUGGGACGAAAAAAGGGUUUUCUAACUCGUCUGACGGUACCGUAAGAAUAAGCACCGGCUAACUACGUGCCAGCCGCCGCGGUAAAAC